rnacentral:lncRNA from 1 species
GAGAGACUACAACUCCCAGUAUGCACCGCGAUGCGCGCCUCACCCUGCAUCUCCCAGCCCGCAGCCAGCUGGCAUCCUAGACCCUCUGCCCUGCGACCAACAGCCGGGAGCGGACCAGACACCAGAACUCCCGGAACGGUUGAAGACGGUUCCGCUCCCUGUCCCGCCUUUCGCAGCCCAGCAGUUUCGCCCUGCGGAGAGGAGCCUUGCUGUUUCCAAAUCUCUCCUGCUGAAGAGACAUUGGAGCUAGGGCGGCUAGUUUCACCUGGCUGUCACAAAUCCUCUGCACCCCAGGAGCGCCGCUUGGACCCCCGGGCUCGCUGCGUGGUCCAUAUCUAGGUCGGGCCUCUCACGGAGACUUUCCCACCAGUGUAAUAAAGAGGAGAAAACGUCACAGCGGAAGGGCCUGACCCUGCUGCAUCCACUAAGGAAACAGCUACGGGGAUGGGACCCUGGGAGCUGCUGUGGAGCCUCAUCCACCGCUUCUCUGACCCCACCCAGGCUGCUUCCCAGGCCUCAGGGUCUUAGUGUGGACCUCCGGGCCGUGAUUAAUGCAGGUCAGCAGGACCAGAGCGCCCCUUGGUCCCUCCCAACACAUGAGGGUAGUUUGUGUGGUGAGGUCAGGGAUAGUGUCUGCGCUUCUACCCUGAAUAGGGCUCCCUUGGAAAAUACUUUAAUAUCUCUUUUUAAAUACCCCCUUGGACCACUUUUAAUAGUUUUCUGAUAGAACUAAACAGUGAUCAUUCUCUUAAUUCAUGUUUCCAUUAAGUUUUUCAGGUUAAGUACUGCACGACUACUCGCUUCUGAAACUGAUAGACACUGCCUCAGCUCCGUGCAGGGCAGACGCACAAGAGCAGAAUCUCCGUGGGACAUCUCUCUGGAGCAUCAAUAUUACUGCAGUAUUUGGAAGAAACAAAUUUAAAUAAGUUCUAAGGUGAAGAAUGGAACAUUUAAGACAAGUCUGGAAAGUCAUCUGCCUUUAAUAACUGUCGUUUGUCCUUAACGUCAGACUUUCUCCAAGACCAAAACUCUAAGAACUUAUUUCCAUUCUUACAAAUAGUAAAAAUGAUAAAUCAUAUCAAGUCAAUUGAAAGUCCUGCCUGCUGCUUUCCUAAA